rnacentral:rRNA from 1 species
UUGGAGGGCAAGUCUGGUGCCAGCAGCCGCGGUAAUUCCAGCUCCAAUAGCGUAUAUUAAAGUUGCUGCAGUUAAAAAGCUCGUAGUUGAAUUUCGGGACUAAUAUGUCGGUCGUGCCUAGGUACGUACUGGCUUAUUGGUUUCUCCUUUCUGAAGAACCAUGAUGUCAUUUAUUUGGUGUCGUGGGGAAUCAGGACUGUUACUUUGAAAAAAUUAGAGUGUUUAAAGCAGGCUCACGCUUGAAUACAUUAGCAUGGAAUAAUGAAAUAGGACGUUUGACCCUAUUUUGUUGGUUUCUAGGAUCGACGUAAUGAUUAAUAGGGAUAGUUGGGGGCAUUAGUAUUCAAUUGUCAGAGGUGAAAUUCUUGGAUUUAUUGAAGACUAACUACUGCGAAAGCAUUUGCCAAGGAUGUUUUCAUUAAUCAAGAACGAAAGUUAGGGGAUCGAAGACGAUCAGAUACCGUCGUAGUCUUAACCAUAAACUAUGCCGACUAGGGAUCGGAUGAUGUUAAUUUUUUAAUGACUCAUUCGGCGCCUUACGGGAAAC